rnacentral:lncRNA from 1 species
ACUGGCUCUCAGCCAUCCUUUGUGGGGAGGAAGGUGCCUCCCCCUAGCCCAGGCUGAACUUGUUGCACUGACAAAAAACCAAAGAGAAGCAGAGGGUUUCAAUUCCCAUGCCAAAGUGGGUCCACCCCUCAGCGGGCUUGGCUCCCCUCCAGCCUCAGCAGCCCUUGACCUAACCCAGCACCAGGCUGGACGGCAGCUCCUGGACACUGCCCAAGCCCUUCCGGAGCAUGUCCUCUGCUAGGAGGCCCCACUCCAGCCGGCGGAUCUGUGCCAGUCCAGGGGCGACUGGGCCCUGGCAACAGAACAAAAGGGAAGACAAGGUAGUAUCUUUUUCUUCAAAUCAAACUUCCUCAAUUUAAAGUCUUUAUUCAGAGCUCAUCUUUACUGAGUGUAUGUCUGAGUUAAAAUGUCCUUUGAUGAAAUCAUGGGAUUUUUUGGUUACUUGGUAGGGGCUGGGGCGGUACUUCUGUGGUAGAGCACUUGCCUAGCGUGUGUGAGGCACUGGAUUCAAUCCUCAGCACCACAUAAAAAUAAAUAAAUAAUAAAUGACAGAAUACCACCAUUUAAGAAAAUUAUUACUUGAUAGAAUUAAAAUAGGGCAGUUCUGUGUCCCUCCACAGGGUUUUAGAGGUAGUUUCAUCUACUGGGUACAAGGGUAUCAUACUCUUCUCUCUACUUCUGAGUAUGUUUGAAAAUAUCAAAAAUGUGUACUUUUUAAAAAGUCUGGAUGGACUGAAAAGUUAAACAUUAAAAAUUAAGCUACGAAAGGAUCGGGAGGGAAAGGGAGAGGGUGGUGACCCAUAUACUCCACAACUUUUAGGGUGUAGAGGUUGAUCUGUGUGAAUGCAAAGCAUUCCCUCGCUCUAGGCCUGUCUGUGGCUCCCCAUUAGCCACAAGAGAAGGGCUGACAUCAGAUACUCCCCCAGGAAGCCCUCCCUGACUGCAGUCCUUCCAGCUAGGUUAGAAAUGCUCCAUAAUUGGUGAGUACGGGGUCACUUACCAUGAGUGAAGUGUGUCAUCUCAUUUAAUUACAGGGCACACAUCUUUGUGACCCAGCUGAGGAGGAGCUUGAAGCAGACACUGGCAGAUCCUCUGCUGAUGGAAUGAGUGAAAUGGACACAGGAGUCCCUCAAUGGACAGCACAGAUAGCAGAUUCCAGCCCAGCUGCCCCUCCUACCCUGGGGCCAGCCAUCCUCUUAGGGACCAACUGUGGCCCGGGGCUCCCUGUAGCCUGUCUCAACUCUUUUGUGUCUGUGCGGUGUUGGGGUUCAAACCUAGGGCCUCGUGCAUGCCAGGAAAACACUACCACUGAACUACACCCUCAACCUUGUCUGAUUGUUUUAAUUUUUUUGGUACUGGGGAUUGAAUCCAGGGGCACUUAACCAUUGAGUUACAUCCCCAGCCUUUAUAAUAUUUGAGACAAGGUCUCCCUAACUUGCUUAAGGCUUUACUAAGUUGAGGCUGGCUUUGAAAAACUUGGGAUCCUCCUCAGCCUCCUGAGUCACUGGGAUCACAGGUGAUACCUGCUAUUCUUGCUUGACUCUAUCGUUUCUAAAGAAUAGGCAGAACUUCUUCUGCCCAGGGGCCCUCCCUGGCUCCCACUGCCUGGGCCUAACCCCAAGGUUUCUUUGUUUGACUUGCAAGACCUCUGUAAAUCCCUCCUGACCUGCUUCCUGUUCUCUUUCCCCAGACCUAUGGUCACCCUGACCUUGUCCUCCACCAAAUGCACUGUACCACCUGCUUUCCCUGGCAUGCCCACUCCCACCCAGGUCAUCUGCCUGUAUGUCCCCCUCCCUAACUGCAUCAACUUGCCUCAGUUUUGACUGUUUCUUACUAGCUGUGUGAUCUUGAAUAAAGCCUCUAGCCUCUCCGAGCAGUAGCAUUGAUGUGAACAAUAUCUGUCUUUGUUUGCUGCCUCCCUAGAUACCCAGUAUCACUCAGGGCAUGGACCCCAGUAGGUAUUAUCACCUGCACUUCACAGAGAAGACCAGGAGAAUCAGAGAGGUCAUAUCACCUAGCCCAGGUCAC